rnacentral:tRNA from 1 species
GGGGGUGUAGCUCAGUUGGUAGAGCGCUCGCUUUGCAUGCGAGAGGUCCUGGGUUCGAUACCCAGCACUUCCA